GAUUCCCCUAGUAACUGCGAGUGAACCGGGAAAUGCUCAAAUUUAAAAUCUGGCAGUCUAUCUUUUCUUCUUUGGCUGUCCGACUUGUAAUCUAGAGAAGUGUUACCCGUGCUGGGCCAUGUACAAGUCUCCUGGAAUGGAGCGUCAUAGAGGGUGAGAAUCCCGUCUUUGACAUGGAUUUACCAGUGCAUAGUGGUGCGCUCUCAAAGAGUCGAGUUGUUUGGGAAUGCAGCUCUAAAUGGGUGGUAAACUCCAUCUAAAGCUAAAUAUUGGCGAGAGACCGAUAGCGAACAAGUACCGUGAGGGAAAGAUGAAAAGCACUUUGGAAAGAGAGUUAAACAGUAUGUGAAAUUGUUGAAAGGGAAACACUUGAAGUCAGUCAUGUCUGCUAGGGAUCAGCCUUGCUCUUUUUGCUUGGUGAUUUUCUUAGUCUGACAAGCCAACAUCAGUUUUAACUGUUGGAAAAUAGCAGACGGAAUGUGGCACCUUUGGGUGUGUUAUAGCCUUUUGUCAUAUACAGCAGUUGGGACUGAGGAAUUUAAGCAGCGUGCCGCAAGGCAGGUCUUUGACCACCUUCGCGCUUACGAUGUUGGCGUUAAUGGCUUUAAUUGACCCGUCUUGAAACACGGACCAAGGAGUCUAACAUGCCUGCGAGUGUUUGGGUGAGCAAACCCUUGUGCACAAUGAAAGUGAAAGUUGAGAUCCCUGUCAUGGGGAGCAUCGACGCCCGGACCUGAGCUUUUAGCGACGGAUCUGCGGUAGAGCAUGCAUGUUGGGACCCGAAAGAUGGUGAACUAUGCCUGAAUAGGGCAAAGCCAGAGGAAACUCUGGUGGAGGCUCGUAGCGAUUCUGACGUGCAAAUCGAUCGUCAAAUUUGGGUAUAGGGGC
rnacentral:rRNA from 1 species